rnacentral:lncRNA from 1 species
CUUGCCUCCCAGUCCAGCCAAGGCUAAGCUCAGUAACAGGCCUCAGCUUCAGAACCUCCAAGCAUGCCACUGCCCAACUCCCAGAGCUGACUCUCAGAAUAGCUACGUCUUGGAAGCAGCCCAUAUGCCCAUCAACAGAUGAAUGGUUAAAGAAAAUGUGGGAUUUGAGUGGUGUUUCUGCUACUUGCAACAAGACACGGAUGAAGACAGGGCCAUGUGCCUUAACCAACAUUACCUACACACAAUGACAUGACCAAGAUUCGAUUCAGG